CACCCUGACCUGCCGCUCCACCACUCCUCAUAUUUCUGAGUCAGAACCAGAGCACCUGCCCUUGGCACGUGAUUCCCACCACCCUGGGGACUGACACGAGCAUCAGGGAGCCUCCUUGCAUCUCAAAGCCAGAGCCUGGAGACCCAGGUUCAUCUCUGGAGAGGUGACAGGGGAGCGUCAUCAACAGAAAAUGAGUGGAGAACAUCCUCACCUCCAAGAGAGUCCUCUCCAGGACGUGGGGCUCUGGAGAGCUGGGAGUGGAAUUUCUGACUUGGGUGGAGACAGUCUGGAGCGAAGAAGGACAUAUCCAGGCGCCCAUCCUAAAAGAGAAAUGGAUUUCUUCAAGAUCCUCUUGGUACAGAAGGAAGAAUACUUCACACCUCUGAACCUCUGUUACCUGGGGAUGAAGAAACUCAUGGCAAAGGUCAUUGUGAAGAUUUUACCAACGGCAAACACGGGGCUUGGCACGGGGCUCAUGAAAACCCUUGGCAUCUCUGCCUUGAAUUUCUUCUUCCUCCCACCCAGAAGCCCCACCAGGGGAGGGCAGGGAACGUACCGCCAGGAGGGGGAGCCGGACCUCGUGGAAGAAGGGCUGAAGUACCACAGAGAAG